rnacentral:rRNA from 1 species
UACAGAGGUCUCAAGCGUUGUUCGGAUUCAUUGGGCGUAAAGGGUGCGUAGGUGGCGCUGUAAGUCAGGUGUGAAAUUUCGAGGCUUAACCUCGAAACUGCAUUUGAUACUGCGGUGCUUGAGGACUGGAGAGGAGACUGGAAUUUACGGUGUAGCAGUGAAAUGCGUAGAGAUCGUAAGGAAGACCAGUGGCGAAGGCGGGUCUCUGGACAGUUCCUGACGCUGAGGCACGAAGGUCAGGGGAGCAAACGGG